CGAAGCUUUGUACCCCAGGGGCCCCAAAACUCCCGAUCUCGGAGUCUACGGUGGCGCCAACCUUCACCCAUUCACUUGAGCGGGUAACUCCGUUCCCUUGGUGUCCUUGGGACCAUGAUUAUUGCUGUUUAGGUUGGAUGUAGCAGGAGCCUCGGUGACAUGCGACCGGUUAACAUGGCGGUCAGGCCCCGCCCCCGUUACCAUAUAUUUUUAC